AGAACGAACGCUGGCGGCAUGCCUAAUACAUGCAAGUCGAACGAACACUUCGGUGUUAGUGGCGCACGGGUGCGUGACGCGUGGGAAUCUGCCCUUGGGUUCGGAAUAACAGUUGGAAACGACUGCUAAUACCGGAUGAUAUCGAAAGAUCAAAGAUUUAUCGCCCUGGGAUGAGCCCGCGUAGGAUUAGCUAGUUGGUGAGGUAAAGGCUCACCAAGGCGACGAUCCUUAGCUGGUCUGAGAGGAUGAUCAGCCACACUGGGACUGAGACACGGCCCAGACUCCGUACGGGAGGCAGCAGUAGGGAAUAGUGGACAAUGGGCGCAAGCCUGAUCCAGCAAGUGCGCGUGAGUGAUGAAGGUCCGUUAGGGUGUAAGCUCUUUACCGAGAUGAUAA
rnacentral:rRNA from 1 species